UACACGUCAACUAUUUCCAUGACCUGCACAAAGAGCUCAACUAUGAGGAAAGGACUGAGACAUUUAUUUUAAUCUGCUGACUGGAAUGGAUGAUGAUUUUGAGGUUUGCGGCUGUUUUCGGGGUUCUACAUGAGAAAUGUUUACAAUAAACUUGUGGUGGCAGUGUGGGCGCUGAUGAAACAAGAAUAUAAGCCAAGUAGCAGUCACCAAUACAGAGGAAAGAUUCCUGCUAACAGACUUUACUGAUCAGGAGCUACAGAAACCAAACACACACAGAUGUGAGAGACGUUCAUGCUAACGGAACGGGUUGGUACACUUGUGGAUGAAGAGCAGAGACACUCACUCUUGUUAAAGGCACUUUUGACACUGGUUAUGAUUACUGUACAAAUGUUUUCUCUGAGAACUUUGCUUAGGUGGGCGGACUGACAAGCACAGAUUUGGAUGAGUGACUCUGCACUUUUUUCCCUUGUAGAAAAUGCACAAAGACUAUGAAAAACUACUUGAUGUGCAGCUACUAGAUUUUUGCGGUUUGCAUCCUGACUGAAGACGCUUUUUGCUCAGGAUACUGAUCAUGUCCUCUUCAGUCAUUGUGAGACCUGCAUCCUAUAUGUAGAAGCUGUUUGAUACCGCUUCAACAACACACCAGACUUUACAUGUUGAAUUUGAAGACCUGUUAGUUGAAACCAUAAUUUAUUAUGUAAAUCUUGAUAUUUUAACAUUUGAUGAAAAGUACUUUAAAUCGCCGAAUGUAAAGAUGAUGCAUAUUUAUAUAAAACUAUGUUAAAUAAAUUACAAGUUUCAACAGUUCCUCUA